AUGUAUAGUUAAUCUGCCCUAUGCUGGAGGACAACAGUUAGAAAUGACUGCUAAUACUCCAUACUCCUUCUUAACACAAGUUGAGUUGGGAAAGUUUUUUCGGCAUAGGAUGAGACUAUAUUGUAUCAGCUAGUUGGUGAGGUAAUGGCUUACCAAGGCUAUGACGCAUAACUGGUCUGAGAGGAUGAUCAGUCACACUGGAACUGAGACACGGUCCAGACUCCUACGGGAGGCAGCAGUAGGGAAUAUUGCUCAAUGGGCGAAAGCCUGAAGCAGCAACGCCGCGUGGAGGAUGACACUUUUCGGAGCGUAAACUCCUUUUCUUAGGGAAGAAAUUUGACGGUACCUAAGGAAUAAGCACCGGCUAACUCCGUGCCAGCAGCCGCGGUAAUACGGAGGGUGCAAGCGUUACUCGGAAUCACUGGGCGUAAAGGACGCGUAGGCGGAUUAUCAAGUCUUUUGUGAAAUCUAAUGGCUUAACCAUUAAACUGCUUGAGAAACUGAUAAUCUAGAGUGAGGGAGAGGCAGAUGGAAUUGGUGGUGUAGGGGUAAAAUCCGUAGAGAUCACCAGGAAUACCCAUUGCGAAGGCGAUCUGCUAGAACUCAACUGACGCUAAUGCGUGAAAGCGUGGGGAGCAAACAGGAUUAGAUACCCUGGUAGUCCACGCCCUAAACGAUGUAUACUAGUUGUUGCUAUGCUAGUCAUGGCAGUAAUGCACCUAACGGAUUAAGUAUACCGCCUGGGGAGUACGGUCGCAAGAUUAAAACUCAAAGGAAUAGACGGGGACCCGCACAAGCGGUGGAGCAUGUGGUUUAAUUCGAAGAUACGCGAAGAACCUUACCUGGGCUUGAUAUCCUAAGAACCUCUUAGAGAUAAGAGGGUGCUAGCUUGCUAGAACUUAGAGACAGGUGCUGCACGGCUGUCGUCAGCUCGUGUCGUGAGAUGUUCGGUUAAGUCCGGCAACGAGCGCAACCCACGUAUUUAGUUGCUAACAGUUUGGCUGAGCACUCUAAAUAUACUGCCUUCGUAAGGAGGAGGAAGGUGUGGACGACGUCAAGUCAUCAUGGCC
rnacentral:rRNA from 1 species